rnacentral:rRNA from 1 species
UACCAGAGUACUAUGAAUAUUAAAAAAUUUAAAACUCAAAGAACUUGGCGGUGUUUUAGACCACUUAGGGGAACCUGUCUCGUAAUCGAUAGUCCACGUUGUAUCUGACCUUUCUUUGUUUACAGUUUGUAUACCGUUGUCGUCAGUUAACUUUUUAGAAACUAGAAGUUAGCAACAGAAAUAGAUGAUUUAAUACGUCAAAUCAAGGUGCAGCUAAUGGAAAGGGGAGGAUGGGUUACAAUUAUGUUAUUUAUAAUACGGAAAAUCGUAUGAAAAUAUGUUGAUUUUAAGGCGGACUUGAAAGUAAAUUAGGUUAUAUGAAUAAUUUGAAUUAGGCUCUGAAACGUGU